rnacentral:rRNA from 1 species
GCUGGAGUGGAUCAGUGGCGAACGGGUGAGUAACACGUGAGCAACCUGCCCCUGACUCUGGGAUAACAGCCGGAAACGGCUGCUAAUACCGGAUAUGCACCAUGAACGCAUGUUCUGUGGUGGGAAAGAUUUUUCGGUUGGGGAUGGGCUCGCGGCCUAUCAGCUUGUUGGUGAGGUAAUGGCUCACCAAGGCGUCGACGGGUAGCCGGCCUGAGAGGGUGACCGGCCACACUGGGACUGAGACACGGCCCAGACUCCUACGGGAGGCAGCAGUGGGGAAUAUUGCACAAUGGGCGAAAGCCUGAUGCAGCAACGCCGCGUGAGGGAUGACGGCCUUCGGGUUGUAAACCUCUUUUAGCAGGGAAGAAGCGAGAGUGACGGUACCUGCAGAAAAAGCGCCGGCUAACUACGUGCCAGCAGCCGCGGUAAUACGUAGGGCGCAAGCGUUAUCCGGAAUUAUUGGGCGUAAAGAGCUCGUAGGCGGUUUGUCGCGUCUGCUGUGAAAACUGGAGGCUCAACCUCCAGCCUGCAGUGGGUACGGGCAGACUAGAGUGCGGUAGGGGAGAUUGGAAUUCCUGGUGUAGCGGUGGAAUGCGCAGAUAUCAGGAGGAACACCGAUGGCGAAGGCAGAUCUCUGGGCCGUAACUGACGCUGAGGAGCG